UGCCAUCUACAGAGGACUGGGGUGGUGAGAACAUAUGCUAAGUGGUCUUGGUCUCCACUACUGUUGAAAGAAGAGGCUCUGAGGAAAGAGACAUUAGAUAAAGACCCACAGGGGUCCUAGAAAGACUCCAGGGUUGAGGCCAGAAAACCAUGCAAACACUUGUUCACACACAAGCCCACAGUUCUCAUCUUAAAAGGAGCAAGAGAUGGUUUAUUCUGGAGCCAUUUUGAGUAAUAACGACUCG
rnacentral:lncRNA from 1 species